rnacentral:lncRNA from 1 species
GUUGCAGUGAGCCGAGAUCACACCCCUGCACUCCAGCCUGGCGACAGAGCAAGAUUCCGUGUCAAAAAAAGAAAAAAUCCUUAGCUUAAUCCCAUCGGCAAAAUAUCCUUUGCCUUGGAGGUGAACAUGUUGACAGGUUCAGGACAUGGACAUUUUAGAAGGGGUCAUGACUCUGCUGACCACACUUAGAAAGAAGAAGUAACUCCAGGGCCUGUGAGAAGCAGCCAGCGGA